AGUGAACGCUGGCGGUAGGCCUAACACAUGCAAGUCGAACGGCAGCACAGUAAGAGCUUGCUCUUACGGGUGGCGAGUGGCGGACGGGUGAGGAAUACAUCGGAAUCUACUUUUUCGUGGGGGAUAACGUAGGGAAACUUACGCUAAUACCGCAUACGACCUACGGGUGAAAGCAGGGGAUCUUCGGACCUUGCGCGAUUGAAUGAGCCGAUGUCGGAUUAGCUAGUUGGCGGGGUAAAGGCCCACCAAGGCGACGAUCCGUAGCUGGUCUGAGAGGAUGAUCAGCCACACUGGAACUGAGACACGGUCCAGACUCCUACGGGAGGCAGCAGUGGGGAAUAUUGGACAAUGGGCGCAAGCCUGAUCCAGCCAUACCGCGUGGGUGAAGAAGGCCUUCGGGUUGUAAAGCCCUUUCGUUGGGAAAGAAAAGCAGCAGGUUAAUACCCCGCUGUUCUGACGGUACCCAAAGAAUAAGCACCGGCUAACCUCGUG
rnacentral:rRNA from 1 species